rnacentral:rRNA from 1 species
UACGUAGGCGGCGAGCGUUGUUCGGAGUUACUGGGCGUAAAGAGUGCGUAGGCGGUUUUCUAAGUUUGGGGUGAAAUCUCCCGGCUCAACUGGGAGGGUGCGCCGAAGACUGGAAGGCUUGAGUAUGGGAGAGGUAAGCGGAAUUCCUGGUGUAGCGGUGAAAUGCGUAGAUAUCAGGAGGAACACCUGCGGUGUAGACGGCUUACUGGACCAUAACUGACGCUGAGGCACGAAAGCGUGGGUAGCAAACAGG